rnacentral:rRNA from 1 species
GAUGAACGCUAGCGGCAGGCCUAAUACAUGCAAGUCGAACGGGAUCCAGAUCAAAGCUUGCUUUGGUUUGGUGAGAGUGGCGCACGGGUGCGUAACGCGUGAGCAACCUACCCUUGUCAGGGGGAUAGCCCGGCGAAAGUCGGAUUAAUACCGCAUGACAUCAUUGAGAGGCAUCUUUCGAUGAUCAAAGAUUUAUCGGACAAGGAUGGGCUCGCGUGACAUUAGCUAGUUGGUAAGGUAACGGCUUACCAAGGCUAUGAUGUCUAGGGGCUCUGAGAGGAGAAUCCCCCACACUGGUACUGAGACACGGACCAGACUCCUACGGGAGGCAGCAGUAAGGAAUAUUGGUCAAUGGACGGAAGUCUGAACCAGCCAUGCCGCGUGCAGGAAGACGGCCCUAUGGGUUGUAAACUGCUUUUAUACGGGAACAAACGUCGGUACGUGUACCGGUCUGAGUGUACCGUAAGAAUAAGGAUCGGCUAACUCCGUG